AGUUAUCAGACAGUUAUUUUACUUGGAUGAGCAAGGAAUUGUAGGAUACCAUUCCCCUUGCUGUCUGGAUGGAUUUGUUUAAUUUUUUCUGCCCCAUGAGUGAGAGGGAUGGAGAGGGUGAUGAGUUUGUUUAGCACCACUAUUGCUUUAACUUAUAGCACGAACUGAAGUUAGACUCAGAGUCAUGAUAACUAUGUAUAUGUCAAAUAUUGCAAAUCAGCACUGCAUCAUUCAUUUAACAAUACAAAAAUGAGAAUAUCUGCGGCCUCAAACUUAGACAAAUGAGAGUUCAAGCAGUACAAAAAAUAUAAGAUGAAGAAACAUUGGCUUGAAUUGUAGUAAAAUGACAUUUAGUUAGAUAAAUAUAUAAAUUUGAGCUGUAUAAACAAUUAUUGAGUUGGAUAGACAUACGGAAUUAGGUCAAAUAAAUUGAACUCAGUUCCUUGUUACCAACUGAAUCGCUGAUAAUUCAUUUAUAUUAUCAAUCAAUUCAAUUUCUGUUUCAUGUACCAACUAAAGCGUAGGAUAUUUUAAGUAAAAGCAAGUAAAAGCACCAAGUGCUGCUUUCAAACUGUAUGCGGAUCAAUAAAAAUCCUUAUUUCUUAGGCAGCAUGUUGAAGAACGAUAUGUUGGGCUCACCCAAAGCAUCAAUGUGUGUUACAGAGGGGGGUCCCUAAAUGCGUCUAUAAAUGAUGAGCUGGGGUGAGAACAUGUUGCAGAAACAUGUGAGGAAGGAAACAUUCUCAUAGACACAGAGAUGAACAGAGUGGAAGAUAAAUAUCAAUAUUGAUUUCUUGAAUCGUUUAUUCCAGAUGUGACGAUCACUAAACUCAAAGUCAGACUAAGUUGGUUCAAAUGUGAGUUAAAAAAAGACGAAGAUUUAUUUCAGUCAAAAGGAAACUUCAACAAUGUCUUCACAAACAUCGAGUUAGAUCCCCAAAAUGGUGAAAACAUUUUUCUAUUCAAAUGUGUCUUGUGUUUCAUAUUUGAGUGUAAAACAGUUUUUCUGUUGUCAGGUUCUUUAGGACUGCAGCUGCUUGUACGUCUGGUUCUGAUAGGAGUUCUCUUCAUAUCUUCAGCUGCUUUGAUGAUUUUCUUCAAGAACAGGAGAUCCAAAAACAGUAAAGGACCUCCAGUAGAAACUCAGCAUUUCUCCAUCACACAGGACAACCAGGAGGACGAGGAGAUCAGGGAGGAGGACAGAAAGAAAAGAACUGUGGAAAUAUCUUCUGUCUAUGCCAAUUUAAAAUGACAGUAAUGUAAACUGAGAACAGAGUAACGCUCACCAGCUGCUCUAGACAAAGACAUGGAAAGAGUGAAAAGGAUUAAAAAGUGGAUGUAGUGGAUUAUUAUCAGAAUGAGCUUAAAGCACAUUUCCUUAUUUUCUGCUGCACCAAAGUGUCUGGUUGCUGUUCAGAGGUAAAGUUCUUAAAGUGCCCCUCUGAUGGAAAUACACUAUUUAUUUUAGU